ensembl:miRNA gga-mir-6681 gga-mir-6681
ACAACUCAGAGAGACGGUCUGGUGCUUCUGGAUCGAGAAAUUCAGCAUGUGCUGGAAGGAUAAUGCUGAAUGACUCUGAUCCUUUGCUGCCCUCUUCUGGCUCUCCUUUU